UCGAACGGGCCCGGCUUCGGCCGGGCCAGUGGCGCAAGGGUGAGUAAGGCGACGGUAACCAACCCCAUGGUCGGGUAUAGCCGCGGGAAACUGCGGGUAAUCCCCAGCGACGUGCGGGGCCGGCAUCGGCCCUGCACCAAAGCCCCGGCGCCGUGGGACGGGCCGUCGUGGUAUUAGCUAGUUGGCGGGGUAACGGCCCACCAAGGCUGUGAUGCCUACCGGGCGUGCGAGCGUGGCCCGGCACACUGGGACUGAGACACUGCCCAGACUCCUACGGGAGGCUGCAGUCGAGAAUCUUCGGCAAUGGGCGCAAGCCUGACCGAGCGACGCCGCGUGGAGGAUGAAGGCCCUCGGGUUGUAAACUCCUGUCGAGGGGGAGGAAGGCGCAAGCUUGACCGAUCCCUGGAGGAAGCACGGGCUAAGUUCGUGCCAGCAGCCGCGGUAAGACGAACCGUGCGAACGUUAUUCGGAAUCACUGGGCUUAAAGCGCGUGUAGGCGGGUGGGAACGUCGGCCACUGAAAGCCCCCGGCUCAACCGGGGAAGGGGUGCCGAAACGGCCCGCCUGGAGGGGCGUAGGGGGACCUGGAACUUCCGGUGGAGCGGUGAAAUGCGCUGAGAUCGGAAGGAACGCCCGUGGCGAAAGCGAGGUCCUGGACGUCAUCUGACGCUGAGACGCGAAAGCUAGGGGAGCGAACGGGAUUAGAUACCCCGGUAGUCCUAGCCGUAAACGAUGGGCACUGGGUAGGGGGCUCGCCGAUGGGCUCCCUGCCGCAG
rnacentral:rRNA from 1 species